rnacentral:ribozyme from 1 species
GCGUAUCUUCUCCCUUCUCAAGCAUUACAGUUGCCUUUAGUGACACCUUCGAUGUCACAAACACCUGUGUUGCAAAAAGGCAAAACCAGAAAUAGUAAGAAACAAAAACGUAACUGGCA